AAAUUGAAGAGUUUGAUCAUGGCUCAGAUUGAACGCUGGCGGCAGGCCUAACACAUGCAAGUCGAACGGUAACAGGAAGCAGCUUGCUGCUUUGCUGACGAGUGGCGGACGGGUGAGUAAUGUCUGGGAAACUGCCUGAUGGAGGGGGAUAACUACUGGAAACGGUGGCUAAUACCGCAUAACGUCGCAAGACCAAAGAGGGGGACCUUCGGGCCUCUUGCCAUCAGAUGUGCCCAGAUGGGAUUAGCUUGUUGGUGAGGUAACGGCUCACCAAGGCGACGAUCCCUAGCUGGUCUGAGAGGAUGACUAGCCACACUGGAACUGAGACACGGUCCAGACUCCUACGGGAGGCAGCAGUGGGGAAUAUUGCACAAUGGGCGCAAGCCUGAUGCAGCCAUGCCGCGUGUAUGAAGAAGGCCUUCGGGUUGUAAAG
rnacentral:rRNA from 2 species